CAGCAAUUAGAGAUUGUUCAUUGCCCUGUUCUGGAAGAACUUUACAAGGAGACAGGAGAUGAUAGGAGCGAGAUCUCUCACAUUCCAAAAGUCUCUAUCCGUUGAUUGGAAUCAUGGAGUGAAGAUGAAAGCUGUAACAAACAUGGCUGUUCCAUUCUCAGAUAGCUGCAAUUGCUAUUCACCCAUUGUGAUGGAGGAGGGAGAGUGGGUUCUGGUGCGGCGAGCCAUAGAGAGAAACUUGUGGAACCCGAGUAUUGGAGAUGGAUGGGAGAGUUCUAAGCCGUUGAAGGUCAUGUUUAGUGGGCUAGCCAAUUGUUGGACCGAUGCGAUUCCGAUUGCUAAUGGAGGACUUGGAGCCAUGGUGUGGGGUGGUGUUGCUUCAGAGACUCUUCAACUUAAUGGUAAAGUUCAUGUAAAUCUUGUAAAUCACCAGUUCUUGUAAAUCUUGGGCAGCUAUAAAUGCGAGAAAAAACGAGAGUUUCUAAAGCAUCUUAGACCGAAGUUUCACAUCAGUUUGAUGAACGAACACUAGCUUUGUUGUAGUUGUGGAUGAUUUCCAAACCAUGUUUAGACUUCUCAAACGCUGCAGCCACAACAAAAUGCAGUCCAAUGGAGGAAUGAAGCCAAAAUAAUACACGUAUGCUAGCAACAUGGUAUCCAAAUAAGUCAUGAGAUGUUUGGUAUUUCUUAUUUUGCCUCAUCUUGUCAAGAGGCUGCUUGUUUAUAUU